UACACUACAUUAUAGUCAAGUUUCUACAAUUUACUAACACUUAUAAUAAAAGAAACUCACUUGGUUCUAAUGUAAAACACUAGUAGUCCACCUAACAUUUGAGCAAGUAUACGAACUUCAAUUUUACCUAAGUUCAAAAUCUUCAUGUUUCAUAGUUGUGAGGUUUAGUAGAUUCUUAGGCAUUGGAUUCUUGGUGGGAGAUGAUUUGCCAACACCGAAAACAACCUUCAGAGCUUACCCAAAAUUUGAGCAAAUAUCAGUAUAUGAACUUCACAUUUUCAUCACAUCACAGUUCAGCUCUGACGACCAGUUAAUUCAUAGGCAUAGGAUUCUUCACUGGAAGGUGAUUCAUACGCAUAUGAUUCAUCACUAGGAGGUGAUUCAUAUAAUCCGGAGCCUUCAG
rnacentral:lncRNA from 1 species